UGGGGAAUAUUGCACAAUGGGCGCAAGCCUGAUGCAGCCAUGCCGCGUGUGUGAAGAAGGCCUUCGGGUUGUAAAGCACUUUCAGCGAGGAGGAAGGUGGUGAGCUUAAUACGCUCAUCAAUUGACGUUACUCGCAGAAGAAGCACCGGCUAACUCCGUGCCAGCAGCCGCGGUAAUACGGAGGGUGCAAGCGUUAAUCGGAAUUACUGGGCGUAAAGCGCACGCAGGCGGUUUGUUAAGUCAGAUGUGAAAUCCCCGGGCUCAACCUGGGAACUGCAUUUGAAACUGGCAAGCUAGAGUCUCGUAGAGGGGGGUAGAAUUCCAGGUGUAGCGGUGAAAUGCGUAGAGAUCUGGAGGAAUACCGGUGGCGAAGGCGGCCCCCUGGACGAAGACUGACGCUCAGGUGCGAAAGCGUGGGGAGCAAAACAGGAUUAGAUACCCUGGUAGUCCAGCGCUGUAAAACGAUGUCGAUUUUGGAGGUUGUGCCCUUGAGGCGUGGCUUCCGGAGCUAACGCGUUAAAUCGACCGCCUGGGGAGUACGGCCGCAAGAUUAAAACUCAAAGGAAUUGACGGGGUCAUAGCUGUUUCCU
rnacentral:rRNA from 1 species